UCCUAUGGUUUACAGUACGGUCCAGCUGAAGUGCCCAAGUCCAAUUAAAAUUAGAGUGUCCAGAGAUGGUACAAAACUGGUUGUGAGGGAAAUGUGUGAACAGCACAACCAUCAUGUGUCUCAGUCUUCAUACCAUCACCUUCAGCAGAAGAGGUGUGUUCACACAGAAAUUAAACAAGAGGUUGCCAAGAUGUUGCAACUGAAGGCCAAUAAAGAGCUUGUACUGGAACACGUCCUGCAGUCAACAGGGAAAAUCAGAACACUCAAAAACUUGCACAAUGGUACAGCAGCUAAGAAGCCUCCACAUUCUGAUAACAAUCUUGUUACUCUUUUGGAGGAGAUGAAAAAGGAGCCAGGAAGGACAACAGAGGUAGUUGGUAGUGACGAAAGUGAACUGCAGGCCAUCUUUUAUGAGGAUGCAAGGGAGUGUGAACCCUCGCCUGCAAAGAAGCUAAAAAUUGAGUCAAGACAAAAUCAGGACAGGCAAAGACCGAAAACAAGAAUAAACAUCGGUGUGGCAUUUCCCAGGUGGAGAUCACUGAUGAAGCUCAAAGGUUUUCAGAAUGAUGACGAAGUUACCUGUUUCCUGCUUGACUGUUAUGAGAAAGCUCCUGUAGCAUCAACUUCCAGAAGAGGGAAACUACAAGCUCCAGCAGUAUCUUGCAUUGCUGAUACAAACAGAAAUGACAAGUCAGAUGACGGAUGAGACGGAUAACAGCUCUGAUGAAGAGCAUUGUCCACCAGUUUGUAUAGGAACAAGUGGAGAGUUAGAGAAAUCACCAUUUAUUUAUCGGCCAGUGUCCGAGUGUGCUGCAGAAAUCCUUCAGGUGACAGUGACUAAUGAAGAGGUUCUCCUGGAGCAGCAGGAGUGGAACUCCAGCCUGGGAAAAGUUCCAGAGCCCCCCUGCAUUCAACAGAAACAGGAGGGAGAGCAGCUUCAAGUCAGAAUGCUGAAUGCGUUGAUGAAGCACUGGCUCACUGUGGAAGCUGCCUGUAACCCCAAAGUUCAUUUAGGUAUUACAGAAGAACAGGAGGAGCAGUGGAUCAGUCAGGAGGGAGAGCAGCUUCAAGGGCAGCAUGAGGCUGGUAUCAUUGAGUUCCCAUUCACUACUGUCCAUGUAAAGUCUGAACAUCAUGAAGAUGAACCUCUCAGUCCUCAGUGUCAUCAAAAACAAACUGAUGAGGGCAGAAUAGACUGUGGAUCAAACCCAGCUGGAAGUUUACAUUCAGGCACACAUUUACAAACAGACACUGAUGACAGAAGUAAACACAGUAAUGAAGAUCACACAAAGAGCACUGAACCUGCACCAGAACAGAUGGACACAGAAGAGGACAGUGAAGGAUCACAACCAGACAGGAAUCUUGUCAGAGUUUACUGAAGCCUUUUUUGUUGACAGCUAACAUAAACUGAAAUGUCACUUGGGCCUUUUACGGAAAUUUUGUUG